GUUGUUUCUUUGGUUUUUGGCCCAAGAUCAAGGUUAGUAUUUGUUCUUAUCAUUUAACAUCUCAUAAAUCCUCUACCUGAGGAUACUUUAUUUAUUUUAUUUUAUUUUAAAAAAUAAUUUAUUUUAUUUUUGGCUGCUUUGGGUGUUCGUUGCUGUGCGCGGGCUUUCUCUAGUUGCGGCGAGCGAGGGCUACUCCUC